rnacentral:lncRNA from 12 species
GUCCAAUCCCCCUGGAAAUCAUUGUUGGCUCACUCCGUGCUCUCUCCCGUUUCCCCUCCCUCAGUCCCUCCUCACCAACACGCCUCUUAAGCGCUUCUGAAGAUCUGAGAUGUUGCUGGGUUUAAGGAGGAAGCCUGCCCUCCGGGCCACCGACUCCCGGUGGUGGUGGCCGCAGCCGCGCGCAGGACUGCACCGUCGGAACCGAGCACUGAGGUCUUCCCCCACCUGGCCCAGGGAUUUGGAAAUGAGGCAGCUCCAGUUCCCUCCAGACUUACGCACAGUCGCCUCUAAGGGCUACCAACUCUUUUCUCCCUUCCGUGAAUAAAGGGAGACAUCUCCUCCCCUCUUUCUAUAAGAAGAGGAUGUUGCUGGAAAACUAGGAAAGGAGAUAUCCUGGGAUACAGACUGUUUCUCUUCCUGAGAAUUGCAGGUGAGAAGAUAAGACAAAUGAAGGGGAGUCUCAACCAUAGACUCCUCCCUCAUCGGCAUAGAUGGCCUAUCUCCCCUAAACAUCUCAGGGGAAAAUCCACUCCUCCAGACUCUUUCAGAAACUACCACUUGAGAGAGCUCCCUUCCCUGGUGGUCUGAUGGAGCCCAGGAAUGCUGACCUGUAGGGCAUAGCACCAGACCUGUGUGCUCACUCUUGCUUGGCGUGAGCAGCGUGGGAGGUCCUGAUAAGCUGGCUACUUAAGGACCCAAGAUGCUUUCUGAGCACUCCUACACACUGGUGAGACAAAUUGCUGAGUGGUCACUACAAAGUCUGUAUUCAAAAAAGGAACA